rnacentral:misc_RNA from 1 species
GAAAUGCGAUAAGUAAUGUGAAUUGCAGAAUUCAGUGAAUCAUCGAAUCUUUGAACGCACAUUGCGCCCCCUGGUAUUCCAGGGGGCAUGCCUGUUCGAGCGUCAUUUCACCACUCAAGCCUCGCUUGGUAUUGGGCGACGCGGUCCGCCGCGCGCCUCAAAUCGACCGGCUGGGUCUUCCGUCCCCUCAGCGUUGUGGAAACUAUUCGCUAAAGGGUGCCGCGGGAGGUCACGCCGCAAAACAACCCCAUUUCUAAGGUUGACCUCGGAUCAGGUAGGGAUACCCGCUGAACUUAAGC